GUGAUACGGAACGCGAGGAUCUUCUGUUCGUC
rnacentral:scRNA from 1 species